AUCCAGCUGACGAGUCUGAAAUAGAAUGAAACGCACGUCCUGAAU
rnacentral:hammerhead_ribozyme from 1 species